CUCCUUUGGUGGUUGGUUUUGGCUUUCAGCGUGGCUCUGCUGUUCACAGCUGGUGCAGCUCUGGAGUGCACUCGUUGUGUGCACUUGCCCGUGUCUAAUGUUUGUACGGAGGUGAGGCAACAAUGUGAGGAGGGCCAAGUCUGCGGCUUGGGAAGAGAUGAG